rnacentral:tRNA from 4 species
ACGCCGAUAGCUCAGCUGGUAGAGCAGCGGAUUCCAAAUCCGCAGGUCGUGGGUUCGAUCCCCUCUCGGCGUG